GACGUGAUAAAAGCAAAGAAAACACGGUCGGAAGAGACUAGGAAGACUAGACUAGGCUUUUCCAUAAAUGGGGCUUUUCACUCAUUGGCGCGAGCUAAAAAGCAGCACUGAAUGCAACAGUGAUGCUGACAUGGCGAUCUUGUUGAUGGACUAAUGCAGAAGAUCCCGACAGCAGCAGCGACUAUCAUCAGAGAUCCAGCAACAGCAGAAGAGAUCAACACUAUCAGUGACACUGAGACUGAACCUGAAGGAGAGAGUCAUUAGUGAGUGUUUGGUGUUGAUGCCGUGAAGUCAGUGUCAGUGACUGAGGGAGAAUCUGUCACUCUAAACCCUGAUACUGAAAUACAGACAGGUGAACUGAUAAUGUGGAGAACUGUACACGACGACAGUCUCAUAGCUAAAAUCAAUGAAAAGGACAAGAAGACAGAUUUUCUUGAGAGAUUCAGAGACAGACUGACACUGGAUGAGAAGACUGGAUCUCUGACCAUCAUGAACACCAGAACCACAGACUCUGGACUUUAUAAAGUUAUCAACACCAGAUCAGACA